UUCUCUAUUCUUACCUCUAGGGUUCCCAAAACUUGCGAGAGAUCUCUCUCGUCGCACCUCUUUGCCGGAACGAUGAUCUCUGCACAGGGUGACCACGACCACCACUACCACCAUCAGCCGCAGCUUCCUAGCUCCACUGACACCUCUCGGUAGCAAUUCACUUUGGAUCACUUCGAGCUCUUCUCCGUCAAGCAGGAACCCGCGUCUUUCAUUCUUCUGCCAUUACGCGGUCAUGAUUCUAGUGAAGUUAAGUCAGUUGGUGGCGGAUUCUUCGGGAGGUUUUACACUUCUUUCGCGCCAAAUACAUUGGAAAUUAGUUUUAAUUUUACUCUGACUUCAUCUAUUUCAUAAUUAGGUUUUAUUAGGAAAUUUUUAAUUGGAAAUAUUUGUGUAUUGAUUUUUCUGUUAUUUGAUAUAGUGGCUUGUUUUGGUGAGCAAGGAUAGCCUAUUCGUAGUUGCUUGCCUUUGUUUCUUUUAGUUGGUAAAUCUUGCCUUUGUUAUGGGAAUAUGACCAAUGCAUGGAAGGUUAGUAACAAGGCUUGCUCUAUACUGUCUAUCCAAUUUAAAAUCUAUUGAACAUUUUAUGGAUUCUAUUUCUCUACUAAACAUUUGAAAAUUUGUAAAUCUUUUUCAAUUUCCAUUUUCUUAAUUUCUCUUUCGUAUUUUUUUGAUACAAUUUUUUAAUUUAAUUUGAGAAUCUCUGCUCGGAAAAUUUUUUCCUACAAGAUGUCUUGAAAGUUUGCAUCACAAAAUAUAGAAAUGCUUCCCGCAUAUUGGGUGAUUAGUUAGCUCUUGCUUCGGUUGGGAUGUCAAAACCUCAUUUUGACGCUAGCAGGUUUGCCAAAGCACUUGCUUUCUUUGAAGAUAUUAGGGGUAGUUCAGUAUUGUUCUUACCUUGUUCUCUGUACAAUUGGACUCUACCUGAGGGUGCUCGUCUAUUUCAUGGCAUGCCAUUGGAUGUUAAGAUUUAUGCUACCCAUCAAUUGGAAUUCUUGGAAGUUGCAGACCUCAUUUUUGUAAGCUGCAGAAAGGCAGGGUCAACAACAAACAACUUAUGAGAACAUUUGCUCUUUUAUCUUUUGGUGGCUCCAUCUUCAUAUUGGGAAAGACUGUUUUGAUGGUUGUUGUUGUUGUGGAAACUUCUCAACGCCUUUUACUUGGAAUGAUCACAUAAGUUUUCAGGGCACCUAUUUCAUUUUUUGAUACCACACCUUCAAGCCGAAUUGUGAGAGGUGCUUGCAAUUUCCAUUUGGUAUCAGGUAACAACUGUAUCAAUAUUUGACAAUGUACACAAACUAAAUCAUAUCAUUUUCCUUGUCAAAGUCUUAUUAGCAUGAACUAAAAAGAUAAAAGCAUUAGUUCGUGUACUUGUCAUAUCAAUUUCCUCUUCAAUUUGGUCUUCUAUUUUGUACUUGUCAUUUUGGUUACUCUUCCAAGGUCUACCAUUGAUUCAAGUAAGCUCCUUCUUCCCCUAUUCAUCUUAUCAGUAGUGGUAGCAAUUACAUGCAUGCAUGUGAGAACCACUUUUCUAUUGCAUUAUUUUAAAAAGCUCUAAAGAUUUUGGCACAGGCAUUUUGGCCUUAGAUUUGGUUUUUUCUUAGUACUCUAGUCCUAUGAGGGAAUGGUCAAAGACAGAUUUAUUUGUAGCAAUGGGAGCCUUGGCCACCCUCACUUUCUUAUAGUGCAUGUAAUAUUUCUUCCUUUAGUCAGAAAAAUACUUUAUAAUUAGAGUGAGUUUGGUUAUAAAUUAAGAGUAUUUUGCUACCUUUUGUAUACUAUUUUUUUAAUAGGUUGUGUACCUUUUGUAUGUUGUGUAUCAUCACUUUUCAAUCAAUGAUAAUUAUUUAAUUCCCAUUUUUCUUUUUUCACUCUUCACAAUUUCUAAAACUACUAACUAAUGAAGACAAAUUACUUUGAUAUUACAAGUUAACACAAUUUUACCUAGCCAAUUAUUUGAGUUCAGAAACACUUAAGUUUCAAAAUUUUGAAAAAUAAGUUAUACACUGUAAAUAAAAUAAUUUUACAUUAUUACCUAAUUAUAAUUCAACAUAUAAAAUAAAUUUAACUUAUUAAUUUUUAUGAUAACUAUAUUAUACUAAUCAGGAGCGAAACCAGGUGUAUGUGUUUAGGGGUAGCCGCCACCAGUAGGAUUUUAAGGCUCUUAAUGUUUACAGUUAAGAAAAAGAAAUU